rnacentral:rRNA from 2 species
AGCGCAGGCGGUUUUGUAAGUCUGCUGUGAAAGCCCUCAGCUCAACUGAGGAAGUGCAGUGGAAACUACAAAACUUGAGUACAGAAGAGGAAAGUGGAACUCCAUGUGUAGCGGUGAAAUGCGUAGAUAUAUGGAAGAACACCAGUGGCGAAGGCGGCUUUCUGGUCUGUUACUGACGCUGAGGCUCGAAAGCAUGGGUAGCGAACAGGAUUAGAUACCCUGGUAGUCCAUGCCGUAAACGAUGAAUACUAGGUGUUGGAGGGUUUCCGCCCUUCAGUGCCGCAGCUAACGCAUUAAGUAUUCCGCCUGGGGAGUACGACCGCAAGGUUGAAACUCAAAGGAAUUGACGGGGGCCCGCACAAGUGUUGGAGCAUGUGGUUUAAUUCGAUGCUACACGAAGAACCUUACCAGCUCUUGACAUCUUCUGCCAACCCAAGAGAUUGGGCGUUCCCUUCGGGGACAGAAGACAGGUGGUGUUGUUUGCCCCCUCGUUCC